UCUGUUGGCCAAUCAGCGGUAAAUAUACAUGUACUAAUUUCCUUUAGACAAGAGAAGGUGGCGGCGAUAAGACGUGAGGUGUCCAACUAAUGCAGAGUAUUCAAGUUGCCAACACACUGGUUGUGAAGUACCCUUUCAAGAGAAAUAUAAAAGGAAAUGACUGAAACUUGUGUUGGGGAGGAUUCAGUGUCUGUUGAGGUCCAUGUGAAUGUGCUACAAAGUGAG